UUUAUGGAUGUGUAUUUAAUUAUGUCUGUAUUCUGGCUUAAUCAAGUUUCAAUUAAUGUAAUUGAAAUUGAUUUGGACUCAUUUGUUGAGUUUGUUUUUGAAUUGGAUUCAAAUGAAUGUAAUUGGGCUUAAUGAUGAUUUUAUUAGAAUUUAUUCCAUAUUUAUUCUAGUCCAAGUGUGACUCGGAUUGAUUUGAAAAUUGAACUAAUUGGAGUUCACAUGAAUCAGAUUCAUGUGGAAUUUUUUCGGAUCCAAAAUCUUUCAAAUUGGUCUUCAAUUUGGUUUAGAAUCAAUAAUGGACCCAAGCCCAUUUGAUUCAGCCCAUUUGAAUUAACCCAUUUACUAGUUUGCCCCUCUAUUUGAAUGACACGUUCUGGUUUCUUCCUCGAUCC
rnacentral:lncRNA from 1 species